UACGUAGGGUGCGAGCGUUGUCCGGAUUUAUUGGGCGUAAAGAGCUUGUAGGCGGCUCGUCGCGUCGGGUGUAAAAACUUGCGGCUUAACCGCAAGCCUGCACCCGAUACGGGCGGGCUAGAGUUCGGCAGGGGAGACUGGAAUUCCUGGUGUAGCGGUGGAAUGCGCAGAUAUCAGGAGGAACACCGGUGGCGAAGGCGGGUCUCUGGGCCGUAACUGACGCUGAGGAGCGAAAGCAUGGGGAGCGAACAGG
rnacentral:rRNA from 1 species